AGGGAAAUAAUGUUUUGCACGACCCAGG
rnacentral:sRNA from 1 species